rnacentral:rRNA from 1 species
UACGUAGGGGGCAAGCGUUGUCCGGAUUCAUUGGGCGUAAAGAGCGUGUAGGCGGCCAGGUAGGUCGGUUGUGAAAACUGGAGGCUCAACCUUCAGAGGUCGACCGAAACCAUCUGGCUAGAGUCCGGGAGAGGAGAGUGGAAUUCCUGGUGUAGCGGUGAAAUGCGCAGAUAUCAGGAGGAACACCGAUGGCGAAGGCAGGUCUCUGGGCAUUAACUGACGCUGAGACGCGAAAGCGUGGGGAGCGAACAGG